rnacentral:rRNA from 1 species
GACGAACGCUGGCGGCGUGCUUAACACAUGCAAGUCGAACGGAAAGGCCCUGCUUUUGUUGGGUGCUCGAGUGGCGAACGGGUGAGUAACACGUGAGUAACCUGCCCUUGACUUUGUGAUAACUUCAGGAAACUGGGGCUAAUACCGGAUAUGAUCUCCUGCUGCAUUGUGGGGGUUGGAAAGUUUCGGCGGUUGGGGAUGGACUCGCGGCUUAUCAGCUUGUUGGUGGGGUAGUUGCUUACCAAGGCUUUGACGGGUAGCCGGCCUGAGAGGGUGACCGGCCACAUUGGGACUGAGAGACGGCACAGAAUCCAACGGGAGGCAGCAGUGGGGAAUAUUGCACAAUGGGCGGAAGCCUGAUGAAGAAACGCCGCGUGCGGGAUGACGGCCUUCGGGUUGUAAACCGCUUUCGCAUGUGACGAAGCGUGAGUGACGGUAAUGGGUAAAGAAGCACCGGCUAACUACGUG